rnacentral:rRNA from 1 species
UACGUAGGGGGCAAGCGUUGUCCGGAUUUAUUGGGCGUAAAGAGCGUGUAGGCGGCUUGGAAGGUCAGCUGUGAAAACUCGAGGCUCAACCUCGAGACGUCGGUUGAAACCACCUGGCUAGAGUCCGGAAGAGGAGAGUGGAAUUCCCGGUGUAGCGGUGAAAUGCGUAGAUAUCGAGAGGAACACCUGCGGCGAAGGCGGGUUGCUGGGCUGAUACUGACGCUGAGGCGCGAAAGCCAGGGGAGCGAACGGG